GCCCGUUUGGCUCAGUGGGUAGAGCGUCGGCCUGUAGACUGAAGAGUCCAGGGUCCAAUUCCUGGUCAGGGCA
rnacentral:tRNA from 1 species